CUCAGAUUUUUGUUCUUGUUGUGCCGAAACAGUUAGCAAGUAUUUCUCAAUGGGUUCCGUGUCAAUCACAACUGUUUUCAGGAGAAAUGGAAAACAGGAGCCUUCUAUCCCAUAGACAGUGUGGCCAUUAAAAAAAAAAAAAAAGGAAUUUUUUUUAAAUUGGGAAAGUGACUCGUGUCAUAAAGACAGAAGUCUUCCAGUUACUUGAUUCCUUGUGAUUCCAAAAAGACUGUUUUUAAAGUAUAAAGUGCUUGCUUCUGCAUCUGCCCUGUGUUGUUAAAUAACACUUGUGUAAUUAAAUAAAAGACCAAGUGUGACCCCAGCCCUUUCUGAGAGGCACUUUACAUGCUUUCUGAAAACUAUGCUGGAAACCAGACAAUCUCCUCAGUCCUGUAAUUUAGGAAAGGGAAAGAGAAGAAGUUGUUCUUGGCCUUCAUGGCCACACACCCUCUGAAAGGGCCCCCUCAGAACAGAAUGAGUACAAAUACAGGUGUGCAAACAUCAGGUAGGCAGCUCUUCCCAAAGACCCAAUUUUUGAAAUCCGUAAGCGGUGGGGAGAGCCACGGUUUCCUGACACCCCUCACUCCCUGCCUCGGUUCCCCGCGUUUCAUGAAACAGGCCUUCACUCCCUGCCUCGGCCUUUCUCGAUCAGGUUACCUUGAAGGUGUAUGUUUUCCUAUCAAAUGCAGUCUGGGCCACAGCACUCGGGCUUCCCUCUCCAGCCCAGCCUCCUGGAACUCACGACUUUUUUUUUUUUUUUUUUUCGGGUUUCCCUUGAAACCUAUCCAGAAACCACAGCCAUUAAAAGAACAUGAAGGUUUGACACCUCCUGAAUUUAGGAAUGAGGGGACUCGAGGGGCCAACUCUGCAAACCUGCACCUGCUUCUUGGUGGCAAAGAAACACUUUCCCCAGCUAGGGUGAGCUUUAAAUUAUACUCUAUUUAUUUAGUGACUUGUCUCCAAGGAUCUCAAAGCAUGAGAUGAAAUAAGAUGAUGUGUAACUUUCUUGCUAUCUACCUUCAAGGCUUAAGUUUGUUUUCCUUGCUUUGCCCCAGUGCAUUCCACCAAGCAGGCCCCAGCUUAAGGAGGGGCCUUCCCUGGAUGCCCAGGUGGGGCGUCUGACUGUCCCCUCUGAGGUUAUCUAUCAGUGGCUCUUAAAGAGCCUCCAAGGCCUGUUAAACGAUACAGGUGGGGCGGGGGGGAGGAAGAGAGAUGACCCUCCGGAUCCACCUGCUCAGAAGUUUUCUUUAAACCAGUUUUAACACAUUGCACGCCACUGCGCCGGCCAACUGCAUCUGGGAAUACACCGAGCACGCGGGGGCCGGAGCCUCAGCCCUGGAAGCAUUUCCCCAUGCUAGCGCAGGUGAGACCAAAGCAGAAAGGACCAUUUUCCGGAGAGCUCCUUUCCCUUCAAGCCUACAAAGAUGACUUUCGUCUUUAUUUUUUUUUCCUGCCACUGAUAUACUUGGGCAUUUCUCCCCUUCAGCAGGACAAAAAACAUAGCUUUCCCUUUGCACUCCCUCCCCUGAGAAAUAAAGCUGCUCUGGUUCUUCCAGAGUGAGAACAAACUAAAAUUAGAGGGUGGACAGGAUGAUCGCCAAAGGUGCCCUCCAGCUCCAACACUCUGACUCUCCCUUUAAUUACUGCACAACAGGCGCAUUCUUCACAUUGUUUCGAACUGACCAGGGACUUCUCUUUUGCUGAAAAGGGUGUAUUUUUAGGUGAAGGAACCCAAACUUCUAAAUGGCACCAGUAGCCUAAGUACUCAAAAAAAAGCAGGAACUAAUCCAGGAUAGGAAUAAGGAGAGGAGGAGGCAGAGGAGGAAAGAAGGGAGGGAGGGCAAGCGGAAGGGAGGACUGCGCUCUGCGCCCAGCAGAAUUUAGACACCCUCAGCCCAGGGGACAACCUCGUAAUCUGGUGACAUCAUGAACCGAGGAGGGCCACGAUAAAUACUUUCAAUAAAACGAAAGCUAGAAAACCCCAAGAACAACGUCUUAGUAAUCUGGGAGGAUGAAGAGGUUUUGGCAGAGCCCCAAGGACAACUGCCCUAAGCCAGCCCCUGUCCUAGACCAUAGGUGACUGGCCUCCUGGACCUCAGAGGCCUGACCAGCAGGGCUGAGACUGACCUGGGUGCCUUUUCUUUAUCUUAAUCCUGCAGCAGCUACAGGCCUGGUGAGGCCUACUCAAGCUUGCCUUUGUUCCUGGCAAAAAAUUAACAGAGCAGUUGCCUGACAGGAAACCCAGGGACUACCCAGCAGUGACAGCCUGACAUCCUCCUCGCUGCAUCCUGACCGCUGUUGACACUUAAACACACCCUCAGAAGAGGCCAUUCUUCCCUUGGAGUUCUCCAUACCCAGUCUCGUCUCAUCUGGAAACUGUAAUUGGCAACAGUCAAAAGGCAUGGAGUCACUAAUGCCAGCUUCUGAUGUGCAACUGAAUCAAAGUCCCCAAGUCAUCCUUACAAGGUGGGGUUUUGGGGAGGAGUCUUGAGAAGCAGACAAUAAGGACGCAUUGAGGACCCAGACAAGGUAUAGUGGGGUGGGUAGCCUAAGGAAAGGAAGCUGAGAGGAAUCCCUGGGUGCCAUGAAAAUACCAGGGCAAGUGGACACUGGGGUAUUUAACCAGAUUUGAAGCUGCAAGCAUUCUCUCCAGCGGGUAAACCCUAGGACCAGGCAAAGAUGCGCGACUCUCAGCCUCUGAACCCCAGACCUGGCAGCUUACCUCUCCCCUUCCCCAGGCAGCCACAGGCUCUGGCUGAGAAGCAAGGUAGGGGGAGGGAUUGAGAGGGCCCUGCAAAGAAGCACAAUAAACAACUCAAAUAUGAACGGAAAUGACAUCAGCAAAGUGAAGGACCUGUUUACUGCAGAUCAAAACAAAACAAACUUCCAAACCUUUUGUGUACACAAGAUAACUCUAUAAAAAGCCUUCCUAAAAUGUCAGCAGGGUCCACACAUUAGCAUCCAAAACACACACACACACACACACACACACACACACACACACACACACACACACGACAGUUACCAUGGGGAAAGGGGAAUGAUGGGAAGAUGAUGGGGGGGAAUCAAACUAGACUGGGCCAACAACCCAGUUGCUGCUGCUUCUCUCUGCUGAGCCUUAAUAUUUAUUGGUGUUUAUAAUCUGAAAGCCAUGCUCUGUGUUUCACUUAAUACAAGGCCAGACAACAUUGUCUAAUGAGGCAGCAUUACAAUCAGCUUGUAAUACUGAAUUUUUAAUGCUGCCAAGGAUUCUGUUACAUAAUAAUAUGAAAAACAGAAGCUGAAAGUGGGGUUCCAGUGACAGGACCUUCUGAGAGCCACGAGAUUCCUCUCUCUGCACCCACUCCCAGCUUCUGAUUUGCAACCAUCUCUGCAUCCCCAUACAGGUCGGUAUGGAAAUCAAGAGGCUUUCCUAGGAAAUCCACACUUUUCAUUAUUAUUAUUAUCAUCAUUAUUAUUAUUAUCAUUAUUAUUACACUCUGAUCCAAAGUUCUACUUCAAGAGUUUGAAUUCUAGCUUGUCUGGGGUUAGAGGUCUAAAGUGAAAAAAAAAAAGAAUUUCUUUUGAAAGGAGGAGGCCGAAAAGACAAAGAAUACAGGAGAGGAAAGGGGAUGGCUUAUUUUGAGCUAACCAAGCAAUCUGAGGGGGAAAAUCUCAAAGGGAGAAAGAAAUAAGGGGGUGGGGGCGGUGAAGACUGCAGACCAUAUUCAUAGCUGCUUCACUCAGUUUACAUUGGUGUAAUUUAAAAAGCGUAUAUAUAGCCGCCAUUGCUCUUCUCUGUAAUACCCCAAGACUGUAAAUCUAUAACCACUGCAAUGAUUUAGUGAUUAAAAACAUGAUAACAUAUUGUGUAACUGCAAACCACAGAACCCCUGCCAACUCUCCUCUAAGAUAAAGGGAGAAAAAAUACAGAAAAUGUGUUGCUUGCAGCGAUCUUCCUAAACCCAAAAGAUUGUAAUAAAAAACCUAUAGAGCAGACGAUCGGAAAAGGGUAAGUGAAUUGUGUGAAGCCAGCAAAGGGGAGGGAAAAAAAAGGCAGCUUUAUGUGGGAUUCUUUUCCUUGUACUAACAAAUUACGACCUAAACAUGCCUUUUCUUUUCUCUCUCUCUUUUUUUAAAGUUUGUUGUAACUGGAAUAACUGGUCUUGUGCACUGUCUUGCAUAUUCAAAGCUGCUUUGUAAUCGGAUCUGUAGACCCAACCUUAUUUGCCUGAACUCAAUAGGGUUUUUUUUCUCCCCCUCCUCUCUUGUUUUGUUUUGGAUUCUGUAUUGUGGGUUUUCUGCUAUAGCUGGGAACAGAGGUCUCUAUAGGCAGAGGUUCUGGUGCCUUUAAGCUACUGAGCGAACACCUGAGAGGGGCAGGCACGAUUUGUAACAUGGCAGGAGGAGCCUAACACACACACACACACACACACACACA